CACAAGAAGUGCAAGGAGCUAUAAAUAACAUGAUUAUGAAGCUGAACAAAUAAAUAAAUACAGCUUACACAGCUCCAGUCUGCACAAUGCUAACUUCUUCUAUGUCAGUCUGUGGGACAGCAGCCUUCAGCACCGAUGGGCUGAACUUGUGACAUCUAACAAAUCAAGGCGUGCUGUGGGAGGGAUUUUGUUACAAACCAGAAAGCAGUGAUUCAUAUUUUAAAAGAGUGGUAUGGGCUAACAGCCCCUCCGUGCCUGAAGUCAUAAAUAAUGUUGAAAGUGUUAAAAACACAUUAUAUUAGAUGGACAUAACAUUUGCUUUCUUCUUCAAAAAUGACACAAAGUAGCUUUAAUCCAGUGAGGGAGCCAGAGGUUUUUCCCUCAUCUUGACAGAGUUUUU